AUUGAACGCUGGCGGCAGGCUUAACACAAGCAAGUCGAGCGGAGUGAUGGUGCUUGCACUAUCACUUAGCGGCGUACGGGUGAGUAAUGCUUAGGAAUCUGCCUAUUAGUGGGGGACAACAUCUCGAAAGGGAUGCUAAUACCGCAUACGUCCUACGGGAGAAAGCAGGGGAUCACUUGUGACCUUGCGCUAAUAGAUGAGCCUAAGUCGGAUUAGCUAGUUGGUGGGGUAAAGGCCUACAAAGGCGACGAUCUGUAGCGGGUCUGAGAGGGUGAUCCGCCAAACUGGGACUGAGACACGGCCCAGACUCCUACGGGAGGCAGCAGUGGGGAAUAUUGGACAAUGGGGUGAACCCUGAUCCAGCCAUGCCGCGUGUGUGAAGAAGGCCUUAUGGUUGUAAAGCACUUUAAGCGAGGAGGAGGCUCUUUUGGUUAAUAUCCAAGAUGAGUGGACGUUACUCGCAGAAUAAGCACCGGCUAACUCUGUGCCAGCCGCCGCGGUAA
rnacentral:rRNA from 1 species